UGACUAUAUUAAGUAGAGAAAAAAGGGAGACGGGGGAAAAAAAAAAGAAAAAAAAACACUAUACACUUCAAUUGCAUACCCAAAACUGUCUCCUCUACACAUCCAACAGAUAAUCCUUACAUCAUAACUAAUGCCACCACCCUUCCAAAAAAGAAAAAAUAUAUAUAUGCCAGUAAUCACAGACACGUUAGGAACUUUGUAGGAAAGCACAAAGAGCUUGUAGAUUACAACCACCACCUUAUCGGCUGCCAGAGUUUGUGUGCGUGUAUUUUUAAGUGUUUCGCCCAGCUCCUCCUUCCCCGCUACCAACAGCAAACACAUGAGUGAGCUAAUCAGCUCUUAAACUGAAAAACCUUUCGAUGCAGGCGAGUGAUGGAAGAUAAAAUCUGAGGGGCGGCAUGUGGGUCAAAUAAAAGUUGUUUUGCAGUUCGCUCCUCCAAGCCCCGCAGCGACCGCAGGGAGGUGAGAUUCCCAAAGCCACUUUCACACCUUCGAUAAUGCACUAGCAAAGAGAAGCCCGGAGAGGCUGAAGUUUCCACGGAGGGAACCGUCGGGGAAGACGCAGCCCGGGAGGACGGAAGGGUUGGGCUCGCUACCUCUGCACACGGGCGAGCCGGGGCUCCGUCUCUCAGGCUCUGCGCUAGAAACCAGAGAUUUGGCAAUGAUGAUGAUAAUGUCUUGUCCUCAGAAAACUUAGCAAACUUCUACAGCACAAAGGCAUUGGCCCUUCUGCACAAGUGUGAUUUCUGCCCAGCAUGGUAAGACACUGUAAACCACAACGGGGCAAGGCCAGGUAAUGAUGGGGCACGCACCUCCAAGUCAUUGGAUUUGGUUCUGUAAGCAGCUGAAGAGCCCCUGAUGUCAUCAGUUCUACAAGCACACUGGGCUCUCAAUACACAACACCAAGGUCAGCCCCAUCUUCCCUCCUCCUACAGUUCCUGCUUGCUCAUCUACUAGGGUAAGUGCCCCUAAGUACACAACACCUGUGGACCUGCCACUUUAUUAACUGUUUAAUGAUCGCUCUCCCCAGCUGAUUGAAAGUCAUGUGGCCAAUGAUCUUAUGUGUCUUGCUUACCGUAGUGUAUCCCCACUCCCUGACACAGUGCCUAGUGUAGAGCCGGAAGCUCAGUGAAUAUUUAUUGAAUGUAUGAAAGACUUCUCGGUUGCUCAGCCAAAAUUAUUGCCCAUAACCAGAAUGUAAACUUUCAAGGCCAGAAACUACCUAAUACUUGGUGCAGGCCUGGUUCUACCCCUGGCAUAGAGAUGGAACUCAAGAAAUGACUGAUAGUUCAAUAAAAGAUAACAAUUCAAUGACCUAAACAAUUUUUGAUUUUAAAAAGUAACUUUUAGGGCUUUAAUAUUAAGCUAAAAAUAUUAUUAAAUUUGCUUAAUGAUCUAAUUUCUGUUUUUGAGCUUAAAUAAGAAAAUAUCAAAACCAUUUUAAUCUAAGUUAGAAGUUUCGUAAGUCACUAGUAGUUUGAGACAAUGGUAUUGCUUUAUUAAAUAUCAUCAUCAUCAUCAUCAUCAUCAAGCACUAGAGUGUUGUUGCAAGAAACAGAAGGAAUAUUUUGAGAGAAAUAUCUCAAGACCCGAUUAAGAAUUUGGCUACCAGAAGAAAGGGACAGAAAAGAAGGGACAUAAAAGGCAAAAUGGUGAAAGAUAGGAUAUAGUGAGGGUUAGAAGGAGUUCAGCCUUUUGAUCAGUGAGAUGCUGUCCUCACCAGCAUAGGUGGAAAGCUGUGGAUUGGUUAGAUUGGGAAUGGGAAGACUGAGAACAGAGCCUCAAUAAAUUGAGUAUUUAAAUUUAAGAAGCCAAUAAAACAUCUGAUUUGACGUGUCCUUAAGAAAAGUAGUGAUAAUAAGAAUUACAGCAAAGAUGGGUCAGCACUAGCAAACAGUGACAGGUGGAGACAAAUAUGAUCAGUGCUGAGACAAAAUAACAGGUGUAUACAGGGAAGGAAGUGCUCUGAAAGCAGAGGGCCAAUUGCAGAGGUAAGAAGUUAAGCCAGUCAAAGAAAUUCUAGAAGCCAAGAUCAAAAAAGGUGCUAAGAGAAAGGGCAGGGUACCCUGGCAAAGACAUCUAAAUGGUCCUAGACUAUAAGCACUGAACCAAAGAUUGUAAACAAUUAGGCAGAGUAAUCUGACCAGUAUAGACAACAGUAGAAAUACUACCUCAUUGCGAGAACAUGCUGUUUCUAAUCAAUUCUGGCACUGUUACUUAGUGAAGUUCUUCAUGAACUCCAAACUUACUUCAAGAGACCCAGCUCCCAUCACUGCCCUAUGAUGCUCUUUUGUAAUCUACACAAUUGGCCUAGAUGUUGAGAAUUGCCUAUAAAAGUGUUCACACUAAUCCCAGCUUCUAUGGUCUCAAUUUAAUCUCAAGAAUUUUGUCUUUCAGCAAGUUGCUUAUAUCCAUCAUGUAACUUCAUAUUGUUUUAUUACUUAAACAAAAGGUAAGACCUUUUAUUUUUAAAACCUUCUUUUUUUUUUUUUUUUUUUUUGAGGUCAAUUCUUCCCUAAUCCAAACACUGUAAUUUCUGUUUUCCAAAUGACUCACAACAUCAGUGGCUACUGUUUCUGGAAGUUUGGAGGUUAGUAUAGGACAAAUGUGUUCUUGACACUGUCAGUUUGUAAGAGAUUUCUGCUUCCUUUCUUUUUACUGUAAUGAGUUUGCAAGAUGGCUCCCCAAGUGGCAACAGGUCUUUGUGCCUGCCAUAUCCCAUUGCAACCUUAUACCUGCUUUGCUGUCUGAUAGCACGUUGGCUCCCUUUCAGCAUUACUAAGCAUUUUCUCCCAUUGAAUAUCUCUUUCAGAUUACUUGCCCUUAGAUGUAUUAUCUUACUGUUUCCUGUGAUACUUUCAAAUCUUUUUAAGCAUCUUUGAGGUACUUCUCUUAUUUCGCUAUUUGAGAUACUUCCCAAUUUACUAUCACUUAUAAAACUGGUGGGCAUACUGUUCGUUUCCGAUUUUAGGUUUUUAAGGAAGAUGCCAAGGAAAACUAGGGGAUAUGCCUCCAUGAAGCUACAUUUUUCAUCGUCAGAAGAAUGAAUUUAAAUAAAAGUUGCAAGCCAUCACGUUGUUGGUAAAGCUGCACUGUUUACUUAGGACACAAAUCGUACGCUCCGUUUUAUGACUAGCUUUAAACAAAAGUUAAAAUGAUUCUUCAGCGGCUUGUAUUUCGUUUAAUAUGUAUACUUGGUUCAUUUUCACUCAUUCUUUUCUGCGGGAUUGAGUUAAUGUAGAAGAAAGGACUUUUUUUAAAAAAGCAAAAGUAACUUUUUGUUUAAAUUUCAAACCUUAAGUACAUUUAACAUUUUUAAAUUCACAUGGCUUUGGUUCUCCAGUAAUUGUAAAACUGUCAUUGGUUUUACUUAACUCUAAGGCACCUUAACUAAACAGCAAUAACCCAUUCAAGUAUUUGACAUUUACCUCACUGUAUUUAUGGGAGUUAUAUUUUCUCCUACUGUGCUGUUUGUAAUUUUCUUUUGCCUGUACUCAAAACAUAUUUUAAAAUAUAAUUUGGCUAGGGAAUUUCAGGGUAUGUAUUUCCUAAAUACUGGGCUCACAUAAACAUAAGGCCGGUUUUAUAUCCUUGCUUAUUUAAUAUCACUCUAGUUUUCUCUAAUUUCUUUGGAUAGUACCAACUUAAAAGCAACUUAAUCAAAUAAAAUUUCUAAGAAUCAAGUCGAUGUUAUUCAAUGUAUUUUUAGUUAAAUUCUGUUAAAUCUUAAUUUUCAGAGUAUGUUUCUGACUUCAGAAUCUUUCAAGUAAACACAUUCUAAUCUAACUCAGGUAAGUUACGAGUUAAACGUGUACAAUUCAGAAAAGAAAUAUGGCAAGUCACGUAUGUGGCUCAGUCUUAGAGUGAUGUUUACACAGGGGGUCCUGGCUCUGUCUGCACUAUAUUAUGACCCUUGUCAUCGCCUGCCCUGGAGCAGUUACAUAUGUGUCUACUUCUCCCAUUAAGCCAGUCUCUCCUGAAGGGCAGAAGCAAUCUGAAACCUUUGUAUCUUCAGUGAAGCCUCCCACAGCACUUUGCACAAAGCAGACACACAACACAUGUUUGCAAAGCUGUGUCAGAAGAGCAAAGUUCUUGGAUCUCCCUUGACAUACAAGCCCCAUGAAAAAUGAAAGCAGAAGUAACCUAGGUGAAUGGGUUGGGGGGCAGGUGCAGGUGGUAGGGUUAAGAAUGUUAAUAAGCAACCUCAAAUGAAAAUAUUUAAAUGUGAUCUUGCUUAUUAACUCAUCACUAAUCUACUUGUACAAAAGUCGAGAUUUAAAAAAAAAAAAAAGAAAAAAGAAAGGUAAGUUUUCAUCCUUCCCAAAUUAGAAGACAGGGAAGCUUCAUUAUUUGGUUUGAAAGUAUUUUCUGAAUUAUACAUGCCCAUGUGACACAGCCAAUAUUAAGAAUUUGUUCUCCUGGUGUUGCCACUACUGAACAAUGAUGAACAGAUCAACAGUACAGGAAUUCCCCAACAAAGAGUGACCCAUUGAGUAGAAAACAGAUCCUAAAACAAGGAACUGUAUUUGGUGUAUGUUCCUACUUUCUGAAUUCUGGCACACCCUUAGUCCCUAGCACCAAAGAGUCAGUCUCUCAGUAAACCUGAAACUAAUCUUUCAAAGGCAAUGUAAUUCAACAAACAUUUAUUGUGCAUCCACUGUAUGCAAAGGCAGUAAGAAUGAAAAUCUGAGGGAAAAAAGGGCCUGCAAAGGAGACUGAGAAGCAAUGAUCAGGAAAGAAGGAAAAGAUACAGGGGAGAGAGGGGGUGAACGGAACCCAAAAGAGCGAGGUGAUUGGUAACCAUUCUCAGAUGUCACAAAGGGUGGAAAGCUGAGACUCCAGAAGAAAAGACAGAAUUCUGUGUAAAUGCAAAAUACUGGGAUCAAUGAACAAAAUGAAGAACUUGUGGAAUCUUCCAUGUUUAGAAUAAUUGUUUUAUGAACCUAUUCCCCAAGAAUAAGUUCCAGUUAUACUAAUGUUACUACCAAUUUCCCUACCAAUCAGAGUUGAAAUUUCUUCCUUUUCCCUCUGAUAACUAAUGUGACCAGUUACCACGUCCUAUCACUCAUACCCACAUGAUUACGGUUGCAGAUAUGGUAGUAUAGGUUGUGUACUGCACAAGAAUGCCACAUCUACAGGGAGGAGUGUUCACAUUAUAGGUGCAUAGGUUUAAUUUUCCAGUAGAUGGCAUUCAAGUAUCUUACUGUAAUUAAGUAAAUAUAUUACAACAAUUUUCUAACAGAUGGAAGUAAAAUGUCUUAAAGACAGGGCAUCUUUUUAAUUCCCAGAAUGCACUGAGCGGGUCAGUGGUAGCUCUGGUCACAAUGCUUCCCACCUGUAUUCUAGUAUUCAUUCUGGCUCCAGCCAUGACAGAUUCGACUCCUAUGACAUCUUUCAAUGGCUUCCACCCUGAUCCCUUAAUUUCUCCACACCUGAGUCUAUCCCAUAAGUAUCUGAAGAGUUUCCCAAAGAAAAGUUCCACUAGUAUAACAUUGCUUUCCCAGAAGCCUUCAGUGGCUCUAUGUCAUAGUCUCUUCAACCUCAUGCUCAAGGCCCUUCAUACUAUGUCCUUAAUCUUCCUUUCCAGUCUAGUCAUUCACUACUAACCAAGAGACACCCUACUCCCAGUCACAACUAAUUACUGUCUGCCUUCCGUAUAUCCUGUCCUUUCCUAUUUUGCUAUCUUUGUCCAUGCCAUUUCCUCUGCCUGGAAUUUUCUCCAAACCCUGUCUUCCUGCUAGAAGUUCUAAAUUACAUUCAGUAGUAUAUUUUGGGAAGAGGUUUUGGAUGACUAAAUACUGUCUUCAGCAAGCAUCAAAACAAACCAAACAAAAGCAAAAAAGAAAGUAUUCCCCUCCUCGGUUUUUGCAGGUAUUCCUGUGAAGUAUUGGUACAUAACAAACUACUCCAAACUUAGCACUUAAAACAAGGACAAUUUUUAUCAGACCUCACAAAUCUGUGGGCCUGAAAUCUGGAAAGAGCUGAGCACUUCUGUUCUCUGUAGUAGUGCGAAUAGUCUCUCAGAUAUUGGUAGUCAGCUGGCAGAUGGGCUAUCUGGAGGAUCCCCACUUCUCCUGCUUGUCACAGACCUACAAGGUCUUCAUUCUUUAGGGCCCAGCUGAAAUUCCCCUUCUCCCAAGAAUCCUUUCCAUGCCCUUGAGUCAGGUUUAAUCUCUCAUUGCUUCAGAUUUUCUAGUACCCUUUUCUUUGUUAUAGGACUUUGCCUAUUCGUCACCUUACACUAGGUUUUCAUUUAUGUAAGAAGAGAGAAAAAGGCCAAGGGAAUAGAAUACUUUGGCCAUAUGAAUUCUCAUUCAAGUUUAAAGAGGAAACAAAAUAUUCAAUGUGACUCGAACUCUGGAGAAAUCAAAGACAGAGCAUGAGCAGGGGAGGGGCAGAGAGAGGGAGACACAGAAUCCGAAGAGGGCUCCAGGCUCUGAGCUGUCAGCAAAAAGCCCCAUGUCAGACUCGAACUCAAGAGCGGUGAGAUCAUGACCUGAGCCAAAGUCGAUCCUUAACCAAUGAAGCCACCCAGGCACCCCGCAUGUUAAUUUCUAAGAGUGCCUCACAACCCCAAAGCCUUCACUCUGGAUGGACCAAAAGGAGGUAAGAUCAAACACCACCAAGACCCUGCUGCACCUCCUGGGAUGAUGGCAGCAGCAGAAUCAACAACAUAACUAGGAUUCAAGGAGAACGUACUGUAUAGCAGGCACGGAUAGCCUGGAGCUAUCUGCAUUCUCCGCAUUCUCUAUUCAAUCCGCAGAACGCCCCUACAAGGUGGGGACUCCUAUCAUGUUCAUUUCAGAGAGGCGAAAGGGCUUGCCAAGGCCACACAGCUAGCAAGUGGUGGAGCUGGGAACCUAGCCAGACCCCGACACGUAAUCAGUGUUACUCUGCCUUUCUGUCUACCCAAAAGUAUAAUGAUCAGAUAUCUGUAAAUUAACCCAUCUUCAAAAAAAGGUACUUCAUUUACAUCUGGCUGCAAAACAUGUUCAAUUACUUUAAAGCAGCUUUGCUGUGGUGAUUGAAGUAUUUCCCCUUCUGCAGCACAGCACAAAGAACUUUAUAGAUCACUCUCCUACAAAACCACCUGUACUAUGUCCACAUGGUUGUCAAGGUUAAAAACGAAUACAAAUAAUAACAGAAGCAAUUCCAAGGGGAAUUUUUCUUUUGUGGGAGAGGAUUAGAUGGAAACAUUCUAAAAAAUGAAAAAGAGGCACCAUCUGGAAUAAUUUUAUUUUCUCACAUCUUGGAUACCUCAUAGUGUGCAACAAUGUCAAAAAUAAAGGAUCAAGAGUCCUGAAGUUAAGGAGUUUCAAAACCUCAGAAUCUAAGGAGACACCUUGACUACCCAAUAUAAUUGAUCAUUGCUUAUGAAGAGACACCUCUCUGGAGUUUCCUUCCUACCUUCUUGCCUUCCUUCCUUCCUACCUUCCUUCCUACCUUCCUUCCUACCAUCUACCCUACCUUCCUCCCUACCUUCCUCCCUACCUUCCUUCCUUCCUCCCUACCUUCCUUCCUUCCUCCCUACCUUCCUUCCUUCCUUCCUACCUUC